GCAACUUCUACCCAUUGGUUGGUCGAAUAAAUCUCUUUUCGACACGACUAAGAUUCAAAGUUGCUAGAACAACUGAAGCGACUUACCAUGUCGAUGGUCCUCUCAUAUCAUCCGCAGAAGUAGAAGCCUCACA
rnacentral:snoRNA from 1 species